AUAACGCAUAUGUGCUGGAAUGCUUUAUGCGUAAAAUGGAUUCGUCUGCCCAAGGAUGGGUCUGCGGCCUAUCAGGUAGUAGUGGGUGUAAUGUACCUACUAGCCAGCGACGGGUACGGGUUGUGAGAGCAAGAGCCCGGAGAUGGAUUCUGAGACAUGAAUCCAGGCCCUACGGGGCGCAGCAGGCGCGAAAACUUUACAAUGCGGGAAACCGUGAUAAGGGGACACCGAGUGCCAGCAUCAUAUGCUGGCUGUCCAGGUGUGUAAAAUACACCUGUUAGCAAGGGCCGGGCAAGACCGGUGCCAGCCGCCGCGGUAACACCGGCGGCCCGAGUGGUGAUCGUGAUUAUUGGGUCUAAAGGGUCCGUAGCCGGUUUGGUCAGUCCUCCGGGAAAUCUGAUAGCUCAACUAUUAGGCUUUCGGGGGAUACUGCCAGACUUGGAACCGGGAGAGGUAAGAGGUACUACAGGGGUAGGAGUGAAAUCUUGUAAUCCCUGUGGGACCACCUGUGGCGAAGGCGUCUUACCAGAACGGGUUCGACGGUGAGGGACGAAAGCUGGGGGCACGA
rnacentral:rRNA from 1 species